UUCAGUAACACUCAGUAGAAACAUGUCAAACGAUGUAUUGAUUCAAUCUUUAGAAUGUUGUUAACAUAAAUCUUGAAUAACAUUCCAACCAGAGAAUUACAUUGCUUCAGAUGAGGUGGUUUACAACUGGGAGGAGACCGGCUGGGAGGUGGUUUACCACUGGGAGGAGAGUGGCUGGGAGGUGGUUUACCACUGGGAGGAGAGUGGCUGGGAGGUGGUUUACCACUGGGAGGAGAGUGGCUGGGAGGUGGUUUACCACUGGGAGGAGAGUGGCUGGGAGGUGGUUUACCACUGGGAGGAGAGCGGCUGGGAGGUGGUUUACUACUGGGAGGAGAGCGGCGUCUGGGAGGUGGUUUACCACUGGGAGGAGAGUGGCUGGCAAGACACACACACACACACACACACACACACACACACACACACACACACACACACACACACACACACACACACACACACACACACACACACACACACACACACACACACACACACACACACACGGCACAGGCAUAUACAUAGAUUCUCCAUAAUAUAAUAUGACAUGAUUAUAAAGUACAUACGUGAUGUAUAUAUUAAUAUAAAUAUUAUAUUGGGCAAAAAAGCAUAAUAAAUUAUCAGGGUAUAUAACUAUAAUGAAGAGGUAUCCACUGUCCCGUGGGUCAUAUUCAUUAGGCACUAAACGGAAGCAAUCUGAACUGAAACAGGAUGGUACUACCUGAACUUGUCCAAUACAAAAUACUCCUUUUUCGUUUUUUUUCAGUUGCAUAACGUUUUGCUAUGGUGUGCAAUCCUGCUCUCUUCCUGUGGUUCUUCUGUGUGUUGAUGCUGGUCAUUGUGACACAAAAUGCAUUAUGAUGUGACUCUGGUCCUUGGAAUGCUGGGAAAUGUUUUUUUUUUGUUUUUUUACUACACUGUACGUCUCAAGGGAAAGUAGGGUUUGGACCGUAAUAAGGAAUCAGUGGAGUGAGAAACUUUAAAGUGUUAUCCUCUGUGCUGAUCUGAACGGUUUCCCACCCCAAUGGCAUUAUCAGCCUUUUAUUAGGCAGCUCAUAUUCCAGCAUAACUAAUGUUUUUUAUUUGUUGAUAAUGUCUUGAUAUGAUGAAAUGUGUAAAAGAAGAGAUGUGUUCUAUUAUACAUGUUUAUUUUGGAAUUAUACUGAUGGAAUAUAAUGGUG